rnacentral:rRNA from 1 species
ACGAACGCUGGCGGCGUGCUCAACACCUGCCCGUCGAACGGAAAGGCCCUGCUUUUGUGGGGUGCUCGAGUGGCGAACGGGUGAGUAACACGUGAGUAACCUGCCCUUGACUUUGGGAUAACUUCAGGAAACUGGGGCUAAUACCGGAUAGGAGCUCCUGCUGCAUGGUGGGGGUUGGAAAGUUUCGGCGGUUGGGGAUGGACUCGCGGCUUAUCAGCUUGUUGGUGGGGUAGUGGCUUACCAAGGCUUUGACGGGUAGCCGGCCUGAGAGGGUGACCGGCCACAUUGGGACUGAGAUACGGCCCAGACUCCUACGGGAGGCAGCAGUGGGGAAUAUUGCACAAUGGGCGGAAGCCUGAUGCAGCAACGCCGCGUGCGGGAUGACGGCCUUCGGGUUGUAAACCGCUUUCGCCUGUGACGAAGCGUGAGUGACGGUAAUGGGUAAAGAAGCACCGGCUAACUACGUG